rnacentral:rRNA from 1 species
GAUGAACGCUGGCGGCGUGCCUAAUACAUGCAAGUCGAGCGAACGGACGAGAAGCUUGCUUCUCUGAUGUUAGCGGCGGACGGGUGAGUAACACGUGGAUAACCUACCUAUAAGACUGGGAUAACUUCGGGAAACCGUAGCUAAUACUGGAUAAUAUUUUGAACCGCAUGGUUCAAAAGUGAAAGACGGUCUUGCUGUCACUUAUAGAUGGAUCCGCGCUGCAUUAGCUAGUUGGUAAGGUAACGGCUUACCAAGGCAACGAUGCAUAGCCGACCUGAGAGGGUGAUCGGCCACACUGGAACUGGGACACGGUCCAGACUCCUACGGGAGGCAGCAGUAGGGAAUCUUCCGCAAUGGGCGAAAGCCUGACGGAGCAACGCCGCGUGAGUGAUGAAGGUCUUCGGAUCGUAAAACUCUGUUAUUAGGGAAGAACAUAUGUGUAAGUAACUGUGCACAUCUUGACGGUACCUAAUCAGAAAGCCACGGCUAACUACGUG